rnacentral:lncRNA from 1 species
UUUGGUUUAGGUUCUCAGCCUAGAAGACACUAGGCUCUCUCUCUCUCUCUCACACACACGCGCACACACACACACACACACGUUUGCUGGUCUAUGCAGGCAGAUUAGUGUCACAGCUGUAACUGAGGCACAGAGCAAUAAACAUAGCAGAAGCAAUUUCCAUGGUGGCAAGAGAGGGCACGGGAGGUGACAACAAUGAGAAGGAUCUCUUCUUCUGACAAGUUUUAGGACGAAUCUUUGACUGACCUCAUUGAGAUGAAUGAAGAAUAUGGCAGAUGAAAUGAGAAUGAGGGGAUUAUCCAUCUGAAAACUGAGGACAUCCAGUUAAAGCUCAUCUUAUUUUAAUCUUCAUGUGGAUGAUUGAUCAUACCCGCCAGCUGGCUAAUAUCAUAAUUAACAAAGUUGCUACCACGUCUGAGAAGUAUAAUCGAAAAAUUUACCAGCAGUGUGAUGCCAUUGUCACAAGAUCAUAA